rnacentral:lncRNA from 1 species
CCAGAACUUGCCCUUUCCCCACUGUGGGAAGAGGCAGAGUAGGAUUCAAUGCUGGGACUCUUCAGCUCCAAACCCACGAUAUUUGUGCACUGUUGCUUAGGGGGUGGGGGAAAAGCUGCGAAUCUGGACAGCUCGGAGGCUGCUGAGCUGAGAGCUGCAUUCAUUCGUUCCUUCGUUCUGCGAAGAUUUACGUGCCAGGCUGGCGUUGGGUGUUGGGAAGACAGCUGUGAGCAGGCCAGGCAGGUUUUAGGGAGAAAAGGAUUGCUUAGCGGGAAACCAUGCCCUUUAAUCAUCUCUAGUCCCUAGUGGGUUAUCUGAACAAGCAGGUAAGAGUGCACUCCUCCAAAUUAGCAACAGCAUUUAUAAACGAAUCACAUCUCAGGACUGACUCCUGCAUUGGCAGGAGAGGUAAAGCCUUCCGACAAGUGACCAACUCCCAAAUGUGUCAGGUCCUGGGACUGGUGCAGGAGCGGGGCAUGUGUCAAGAUUAUUCAACAAGGCUCCUGCCGCAUGAAGUUCAGAGCAGCUGACAAACAACCCCACAGCCAUCACGGAGCAGACAGCUGGGACAGCGCCACCGGAGGGGCCAGGUGGGAAAGAAGGCUCCCAGGCAGGGACAUUGGAACUGGGCAUCGUAGCAGAGCCUGCCACUUGAUGGCCCAUUGGCCCAAAGACCCAUCUGGUCUCCCAUCAAGAAUCUGGCAAGUGACUCCGUGGAUGUGUGCUUUCAACUGCACAGAUGCCAAGGCUGGCCACUGUCUCCUCUUUGUCCUGGACCCACACGCAUGCCACAUUUCCCGGCCUCCCUUGCAGUGAACUUGGCCGUGAAACUGAGCUCUGACCGAUGGAACAUGGGUGGAAGUACUUUGUGCCACUUCCGGUCCUGGCCUCUCCAACCACCCUCUCCUUUCAUCUGCUGCCUGUGUGUUGAUUCCCAAGGUGAGUGAGGGAGCCUGGUGAUGAAGACGGGAGAGU